rnacentral:tRNA from 1 species
GCCGGUGUGAUGGAAUUGGUAGACGUAGUGGAUUCAAAAUCCACCGCUCGCAAGAGCGUGCCGGUUCGAGUCCGGCCACCGGCACCA